rnacentral:rRNA from 1 species
GGUUAAGCGACUAAGCGUACACGGUGGAUGCCCUGGCAGUCAGAGGCGAUGAAGGACGUGCUAAUCUGCGAUAAGCGUCGGUAAGGUGAUAUGAACCGUUAUAACCGGCGAUUUCCGAAUGGGGAAACCCAGUGUGUUUCGACACACUAUCAUUAACUGAAUCCAUAGGUUAAUGAGGCGAACCGGGGGAACUGAAACAUCUAAGUACCCCGAGGAAAAGAAAUCAACCGAGAUUCCCCCAGUAGCGGCGAGCGAACGGGGAGCAGCCCAGAGCCUGAAUCAGUGUGUGUGUUAGUGGAAGCGUCUGGAAAGGCGCGCGAUACAGGGUGACAGCCCCGUACACAAAAAUGCACAUGCUGUGAGCUCGAUGAGUAGGGCGGGACACGUGGUAUCCUGUCUGAAUAUGGGGGGACCAUCCUCCAAGGCUAAAUACUCCUGACUGACCGAUAGUGAACCAGUACCGUGAGGGAAAGGCGAAAAGAACCCCGGCGAGGGGAGUGAAAAAGAACCUGAAACCGUGUACGUACAAGCAGUGGGAGCACGCUUAGGCGUGUGACUGCGUACCUUUUGUAUAAUGGGUCAGCGACUUAUAUUCUGUAGCAAGGUUAACCGAAUAGGGGAGCCGAAGGGAAACCGAGUCUUAACUGGGCGUUAAGUUGCAGGGUAUAGACCCGAAACCCGGUGAUCUAGCCAUGGGCAGGUUGAAGGUUGGGUAACACUAACUGGAGGACCGAACCGACUAAUGUUGAAAAAUUAGCGGAUGACUUGUGGCUGGGGGUGAAAGGCCAAUCAAACCGGGAGAUAGCUGGUUCUCCCCGAAAGCUAUUUAGGUAGCGCCUCGUGAAUUCAUCUCCGGGGGUAGAGCACUGUUUCGGCAAGGGGGUCAUCCCGACUUACCAACCCGAUGCAAACUGCGAAUACCGGAGAAUGUUAUCACGGGAGACACACGGCGGGUGCUAACGUCCGUCGUGAAGAGGGAAACAACCCAGACCGCCAGCUAAGGUCCCAAAGUCAUGGUUAAGUGGGAAACGAUGUGGGAAGGCCCAGACAGCCAGGAUGUUGGCUUAGAAGCAGCCAUCAUUUAAAGAAAGCGUAAUAGCUCACUGGUCGAGUCGGCCUGCGCGGAAGAUGUAACGGGGCUAAACCAUGCACCGAAGCUGCGGCAGCGACGCUGAUGCGUUGUUGGGUAGGGGAGCGUUCUGUAAGCCUGCGAAGGUGUGCUGUGAGGCAUGCUGGAGGUAUCAGAAGUGCGAAUGCUGACAUAAGUAACGAUAAAGCGGGUGAAAAGCCCGCUCGCCGGAAGACCAAGGGUUCCUGUCCAACGUUAAUCGGGGCAGGGUGAGUCGACCCCUAAGGCGAGGCCGAAAGGCGUAGUCGAUGGGAAACAGGUUAAUAUUCCUGUACUUGGUGUUACUGCGAAGGGGGGACGGAGAAGGCUAUGUUGGCCGGGCGACGGUUGUCCCGGUUUAAGCGUGUAGGCUGGUUUUCCAGGCAAAUCCGGAAAAUCAAGGCUGAGGCGUGAUGACGAGGCACUACGGUGCUGAAGCAACAAAUGCCCUGCUUCCAGGAAAAGCCUCUAAGCAUCAGGUAACAUCAAAUCGUACCCCAAACCGACACAGGUGGUCAGGUAGAGAAUACCAAGGCGCUUGAGAGAACUCGGGUGAAGGAACUAGGCAAAAUGGUGCCGUAACUUCGGGAGAAGGCACGCUGAUAUGUAGGUGAAGCGACUUGCUCGUGGAGCUGAAAUCAGUCGAAGAUACCAGCUGGCUGCAACUGUUUAUUAAAAACACAGCACUGUGCAAACACGAAAGUGGACGUAUACGGUGUGACGCCUGCCCGGUGCCGGAAGGUUAAUUGAUGGGGUCAGCGCAAGCGAAGCUCUUGAUCGAAGCCCCGGUAAACGGCGGCCGUAACUAUAACGGUCCUAAGGUAGCGAAAUUCCUUGUCGGGUAAGUUCCGACCUGCACGAAUGGCGUAAUGAUGGCCAGGCUGUCUCCACCCGAGACUCAGUGAAAUUGAACUCGCUGUGAAGAUGCAGUGUACCCGCGGCAAGACGGAAAGACCCCGUGAACCUUUACUAUAGCUUGACACUGAACAUUGAGCCUUGAUGUGUAGGAUAGGUGGGAGGCUUUGAAGUGUGGACGCCAGUCUGCAUGGAGCCGACCUUGAAAUACCACCCUUUAAUGUUUGAUGUUCUAACGUUGACCCGUAAUCCGGGUUGCGGACAGUGUCUGGUGGGUAGUUUGACUGGGGCGGUCUCCUCCUAAAGAGUAACGGAGGAGCACGAAGGUUGGCUAAUCCUGGUCGGACAUCAGGAGGUUAGUGCAAUGGCAUAAGCCAGCUUGACUGCGAGCGUGACGGCGCGAGCAGGUGCGAAAGCAGGUCAUAGUGAUCCGGUGGUUCUGAAUGGAAGGGCCAUCGCUCAACGGAUAAAAGGUACUCCGGGGAUAACAGGCUGAUACCGCCCAAGAGUUCAUAUCGACGGCGGUGUUUGGCACCUCGAUGUCGGCUCAUCACAUCCUGGGGCUGAAGUAGGUCCCAAGGGUAUGGCUGUUCGCCAUUUAAAGUGGUACGCGAGCUGGGUUUAGAACGUCGUGAGACAGUUCGGUCCCUAUCUGCCGUGGGCGCUGGAGAACUGAGGGGGGCUGCUCCUAGUACGAGAGGACCGGAGUGGACGCAUCACUGGUGUUCGGGUUGUCAUGCCAAUGGCACUGCCCGGUAGCUAAAUGCGGAAGAGAUAAGUGCUGAAAGCAUCUAAGCACGAAACUUGCCCCGAGAUGAGUUCUCCCUGACCCUUUAAGGGUCCUGAAGGAACGUUGAAGACGACGACGUUGAUAGGCCGGGUGUGUAAGCGCAGCGAUGCGUUGAGCUAACCGGUACUAAUGAACCGUGAGGCUUAACCUU